GACGAACGCUGGCGGCGUGCUUAACACAUGCAAGUCGAACGGAAAGGCCCUGCUUUUGUGGGGUGCUCGAGUGGCGAAAGGGUGAGUAACACGUGAGUAACCUGCCCUUGACUUUGGGAUAACUUCAGGAAACUGGGGCUAAUACCGGAUAGGAGCUCCUGCUGCAUGGUGGGGGUUGGAAAGUUUCGGUGGUUGGGGAUGGACUCGCGGCUUAUCAGCUUGUUGGUGGGGUAGUGGCUUACCAAGGCUUUGACGGGUAGCCGGCCUGGGAGGGUGACCGGCCACAUUGGGACUGAGAUACGGCCCAGACUCCUACGGGAGGCAGCAGUGGGGAAUAUUGCACAAUGGGCGGAAGCCUGAUGCAGCAACGCCGCGUGCGGGAUGACGGCCUUCGGGUUGUAAACCGCUUUCGCCUGUGACGAAGCGUGAGUGACGGUAAUGGGUAAAGAAGCACCGGCUAACUACGUG
rnacentral:rRNA from 1 species